UUUCAGAAAAAAAAUGAUUUCCAUACUGCGCUACAAAACAGAAGUAUAUUAAAUUACUAUUGUAAAGAAUGAAGCGAUUUUAGAAAAGCGAUGACAGUUUUUGUAGGUGCAUGAAUUGUGGUAACAUUUUUCACUACUGCUUCCUCUAAUGCACAAACUCCUUUUACCUUUUACCAUCCCCAGCUUGGUUUGGACAAAAUUGCGACAGCCACAAUUGAACGCGUAUUUUUUCCUGUUAUACGAAGGAAUAAUAUAAUAAAAG